rnacentral:rRNA from 1 species
GAGUUUGAUCAUGGCUCAGAAUCAACGCUGGCGGCGUGCCUCAGACAUGCAAGUCGAACGAUUAAAGCUCUCUUCGGAGAGUGCAUAGAGUGGCGCACGGGUGAGUAACACGUAAGUAAUCUACCCUCGGGUGGGGAAUAACGUUCGGAAACGGACGCUAAUACCGCAUAAUGCAGCGGCACCGCAAGGUGACAGUUGUUAAAGAUUUAUUGCCUGGGGAGGAGCUUGCGGCAGAUUAGCUUGUUGAUAAGGUAACGGCUUACCAAGGCUACGAUCUGUAUCCGGUCUAAGAGGACGGUCGGACACACUGACACUGAAUAACGGGUCAGACUCCUACGGGAGGCAGCAGUCGGGAAUUUUGGGCAAUGGGGGAAACCCUGACCCAGCAACGCCGCGUGAAGGAUGAAGUAUUUCGGUAUGUAAACUUCGAAAGAAUAGGAAGAAUAAAUGACGGUACUAUUUAUAAGGUCCGGCUAACUACGUGCCAGCAGCCGCGGUAAUACGUAGGGACCAAGCGUUGUUCGGAUUUACUGGGCGUAAAGGGCGCGUAGGCG